rnacentral:piRNA from 1 species
UCGCAACGAGAGCGGUGGCCACGCGGU